UACGUAGGGUGCAGGCGUUAAUCGGAAUUACUGGGCGUAAAGCGUGCGCAGGCGGUCUCUUAAGACAGGUGUGAAAUCCCCGGGCUUAACCUGGGAACUGCGCUUGUAACUGAGAGGCUAGAGUGUGGCAGAGGGGGGUGGAAUUCCACGUGUAGCAGUGAAAUGCGUAGAUAUGUGGAGGAACACCGAUGGCGAAGGCAGCCCCCUGGGCUAACACUGACGCUCAUGCACGAAAGCGUGGGGGAGCAAACAGG
rnacentral:rRNA from 1 species